GACGAACGCUGGCGGCGUGCUUAACACAUGCAAGUCGAACGAAGUGGCGAACGGGUGAGUAACGCGUAAUCAACCUGCCCUUCAUUGGGGUACACCAUUUGGAAACGCCUGCUAAUACCGCAUACUGAAGGAGGGUAUUGCGUCUGUUUAGCUCGUUGGAGGGGUAACGGCCCACCAAGGCGAUGAUCAGUAGCCGGUCUGGGAGGAUGAUCGGCCACAGUGGGACUGAGACACGGCCCAGACUCCUACGGGAGGCAGCAGUGGGGAAUCUUCCGCAAUGGACGAAAGUCUGACGGAGCAACGCCGCGUGAGUGAGGACGGCCUUCGGGUUGUAAAGCUCUGUUAAUCGGGACGCGGUACCGGAAUAGAAAGCCACGGCUAACUACGUGCCAGCAGCCGCGGUAAUAC
rnacentral:rRNA from 1 species